rnacentral:rRNA from 1 species
GACGUAGGGUGCAAGCGUUAAUCGGAAUUACUGGGCGUAAAGCGUACGUAGGCGGCUUUGUAAGUUAGAGGUGAAAGCCCGGGGCUCAACCCCGGAAUUGCCUUUAAGACUGCAUCGCUUGAAUCGCGGAGAGGUGAGUGGAAUUCCGAGUGUAGAGGUGAAAUUCGUAGAUAUUCGGAAGAACACCAGUGGCGAAGGCGGCUCACUGGACGCGUAUUGACGCUGAGGUACGAAAGCGUGGGGAGCAAACAGG